rnacentral:rRNA from 1 species
CAGUCGAACGGCAGCACGGGGGCAACCCUGGUGGCGAGUGGCGAACGGGUGAGUAAUGCAUCGGAACGCGUCCUGUAAUGGGGGAUAACCUACCGAAAGGUAGGCUAAUACCGCAUACGUCCUGAGGGAGAAAGCGGGGGAUCGUAAGACCUCGUGUUAUAGGAGCGGCCGAUGUCGGAUUAGCUAGUUGGUGGGGUAAAGGCCUACCAAGGCGACGAUCCGUAGCGGGUCUGAGAGGACGGCCCGCCACACUGGGACUGAGACACGGCCCAGACUCCUACGGGAGGCAGCAGUGGGGAAUUUUGGACAAUGGGGGCAACCCUGAUCCAGCCAUGCCGCGUGAGUGAAGAAGGCCUUCGGGUUGUAAAGCUCUUUCGGCCGGGAAGAAAUCGUGCGGGCUAAUACCCUGUAUGGAUGACGGUACCGGAAGAAGAAGCACCGGCUAACUACGUGCCAGCAGCCGCGGUAAUACGUAGGGUGCGAGCGUUAAUCGGAAUUACUGGGCGUAAAGCGUGCGCAGGCGGCUCUAUAAGACAGAUGUGAAAUCCCCGGGCUUAACCUGGGAACUGCGUUUGUGACUGUAGGGCUUGAGUGCGGCAGAGGGGGGUGGAAUUCCACGUGUAGCAGUGAAAUGCGUAGAGAUGUGGAGGAACACCGAUGGCGAAGGCAGCCCCCUGGGUCGACACUGACGCUCAUGCACGAAAGCGUGGGGAGCAAACAGGA